UUCUGCCCCUACAACUACAUCCACGGGCCUUUCAGCCUCACAACAUGCAGAGAGCGGUGCCCUCCGGGGAGGCACCCGCUCUUGCUGGCCUCCGCCUCCGGCUCAGCUGGGAGCCAACACCAGCUGCGCCGAGUCGUGCGCGUGACCAACGUGCCGCUGAGCAUGAUCCCCGGCGAGCAUGAAUUGCACGGGCUCUUCAAGCGGUUCGGGCCGCUUGUCAUGUGCGACUUAACGAGCUCGAGGAGCCAUGACCCCGUGGGAUUCGGGUGGGUCGCGUUCGAGAGCCGUGAGCACGCGGAGGAGGCCAUCGGCAAGCUCAAGGGCCACCUCGUCGGUGACCUCAGGCUCCGAGUUGACUGGGUAUACCCACGCUGA
rnacentral:rRNA from 1 species